GGGUCACACAACAGUUUUCAUGUCAUGCUUUCUUAGUUAUAUAAAUAGGAAUAGGAUUGUAAGGCAAAACUACAAUAUCAGUAGGUGUAGGAAGCCAUAAUAAAAAUUGAGAUAAAUAAUAAUAGUAUAUUUAUUUGAUGAUUUCUUUUCUAAAAACUUAAUGAGGAAUAAUUCUCCCUUCAAAAUUUUCCUAAUACAGAUAUGAAAGAAAUGUUUGACCUUUGAUUAUUUUCCUUAAAGAAAUGCUUUCUGAAGUGAAAUUUUGUUUAUCUUUCAUAACAUUCCUCAUACAGCUUUUAAUCAAGGUUAUAGUAGGAAGAGGAAGUGGGUUAGUGGUAAAGGUACAGGUGGGGGAAUAGGUAAGACAGUAGGAGUGUACAGUUGUAUGGUGAAGAUUCGUUGGUUGUUGUCCUGCCGCCAAGAAGCUGUGUGACUGAUGUACAGACACGGAGACAUGAUGGCAAGGAGGUGACGGACAGACCAGACCAUAAUCCUGUGCAGCUAUGACUCAGGGCAGAGGCUAAGCUCCAUAUUCUUAACCCAUCCGCUGCGAUUGGCAUGGGUUUCGCUUUCACUGGUAGCCUGGUAACAUAUACUCCCAGGUCUUUCUUUGCCUCUGUGGUGGAUAGUGGAGUGUUUCCCAUGUGAUAUUGGUAUGCUGGAUAUCCCUUCACUGGUAGCCUGGUAACAUACACUCCCAGGUCUUUCUCUGCCUCUGUGGUGGAUAGUGGAGUGUUUCCCAUGUGGUAUUGGUGUGCUGGAUAUCCCUUCACUGGUAGCCUGGUAACAUACACUCCCAGGUCUUUCUCUGCCUCUGUGGUGGAUAGUGGAGUGUUUCCCAGGUGGUAUUGGUGUGCUGGAUAUCCCUUCACUGGUAGCCUGGUAACAUACACUCCCAG